rnacentral:rRNA from 1 species
ACGGAGGGUGCAAGCGUUGCUCGGAAUCACUGGGCGUAAAGCGACCGCAGGCGGUCUGACAAGUCGGAUGUGAAAGCCCUGGGCUCAACUCAGGAAUUGCAUUCGAAACUGGCAGACUCGAGUACGGGAGAGGGGGGUGGAAUUCCUGGUGUAGGGGUGAAAUUCGUUGAUAUCAGGAGGAACACCGGCGGCGAAGGCGGCCCCCUGGCCCGCAACUGACGCUCAUGGUCGAAAGCGUGGGGAGCAAACAGGA